rnacentral:rRNA from 1 species
GAUGAACGCUGGCGGCGUGCCUAAUACAUGCAAGUCGAGCGAACAGACGAGGAGCUUGCUCCUCUGACGUUAGCGGCGGACGGGUGAGUAACACGUGGAUAACCUACCUAUAAGACUGGGAUAACUUCGGGAAACCGGCGCUAAUACCGGAUAAUAUAUUGAUCCGCAUGGUUCAAUAGUGAAAGACGGUUUUGCUGUCACUUAUAGAUGGAUCCGCGCCGCAUUAGCUAGUUGGUAAGGUAACGGCUUACCACGGCAACGAUGCGUAGCCGACCUGAGAGGGUGAUAGGCCACACGGGAACUGAGACACGGUCCAGACUCCUACGGGAGGCAGCAGUAGGGAAUCUUCCGCAAUGGGCGAAAGCUUGACGGAGCAACGCCGCGUGAGUGAUGACGGUGUUCGGAUCGUAAAACUCUGUUAUUAGGGAAGAACAAAUGUGUAAGUAACUAUGCACGUCUUGACGGUACCUAAUCAGAAAGCCACGGCUAACUACGUG